AUUGAACGCUGGCGGCAGGCCUAACACAUGAAAGUCGAGCGGAGCGGCGGACGGGUGAGUAAUGCCUAGGAAUAUGCCUGGUAGUGGGGGAUAACGUCCGGAAACGGGCGCUAAUACCGCAUACUAUCAGAUGAGACUAGGGCGGAUUAGCUAGUUGGAGGGGUAAAGGCAUACCAAGGCGAAGAUCCUGAACGGGUCUGAGAGGAUGAUCAGGACAACUGGAACUUAGACACGGUCCAGACUCCUACGGGAGGCAGCAGUGGGGAAUAUUGGACAAUGGGCGAAAGCCUGAUCCAGCCAUGCCGCGUGUGUGAAGAAGGUCUUCGGAUUGUAAAGCACUUUAAGGUGGGAUGCGUUACCAACAGAAUAAGCACCGGCUAACUUCGUGCCAGCAGCCGCGGUAAUUC
rnacentral:rRNA from 1 species